rnacentral:pre_miRNA from 1 species
AUUGCAAUUGCAAGAUCAUAUGGUAAGAGUAUGUUUAAUUUUGUGGGAAACUGCCAGACUCUUUUCCAAAGUGGCUGUACCAUUUUGCAUUCCCACCAGCAAU